AUUGAACGCUGGCGGCAGGCCUAACACAUGCAAGUCGAACGAGUGGCGGACGGGUGAGUAAUGUCUGGGAGACUGCCAGAUGGAGGGGGAUAACUACUGGAAACGGUAGCUAAUACCGCAUACCAUCGGAUGUGCCCAGAUGGGAUUAGCUAGUAGGUGGGGUAACGGCUCACCUGGGCGACGAUCCCUAGCUGGUCUGAGAGGAUGACCAGCCACACUGGAACUGAGCCACGGUCCAGACUCCUACGGGAGGCAGCAGUGGGGAAUAUUGCACAAGGGGCGCAAGCCUGAUGCAGCCAGGCCGCGGGUAUGAAGAAGGCCUUCGGGUUGUAAAGUACUUUCAGCGAGGAGGCGUUACUCGCAGAAGAAGCACCGGCUAACUCCGUGCCAGCAGCCGCGGUAAUUC
rnacentral:rRNA from 1 species